UACGAAGGGGGCUAGCGUUGCUCGGAAUUACUGGGCGUAAAGCGCACGUAGGCGGUCUUUUAAGUCAGGGGUGAAAUCCUGGAGCUCAACUCCAGAACUGCCUUUGAUACUGAGGAGCUUGAGUCCGGGAGAGGUGGAGUGGAACUGCGAGUGUAGAGGUGAAAUUCGUAGAUAUUCGCAAGAACACCAGUGGCGAAGGCGGCUCACUGGCCCGGUACUGACGCUGAGGUGCGAAAGCGUGGGGAGCAAACAGGGAUU
rnacentral:rRNA from 1 species